UACGUAGGGGUGCGAGCGUUGGUCCGGAAUUAUUUGGGGCGUAAAAGAGCUCGUAGGCGGUUUGUCGCGUCUGCUGUGAAAUCCCGAGGCUCAACCUCGGGCCUGCAGUGGGUACGGGCAGACUGGAGUGCGGUAGGGGAGAAUGGAAUCCUGGUGUAGCGGUGAAAUGCGCAGAUAUCAGGAGGAACACCGGUGGCGAAGGCGGAUCUCUGGGCCUUACCUGACGCUGAGGAGCGAAAGCAUGGGGAGCAAACAGG
rnacentral:rRNA from 1 species